GACGAACCGUGCGAACGUUGUUCGGAAUCACUGGGCUUAAAGGGCGCGUAGGCGGUCUCCCAAGUCCGGGGUGAAAUCUUUCGGCUUAACCGGAAAAGGGCCUUGGAUACUGGGGGACUCGAGGGGGGUAGGGGCAAGCGGAACUUCCAGUGGAGCGGUGAAAUGUGUUGAUAUUGGAAGGAACACCGGAGGCGAAAGCGGUGUACUGGGGCUGGUCUGACGCUGAGGCACGAAAGCCAGGGGAGCGAACGGG
rnacentral:rRNA from 1 species